rnacentral:rRNA from 1 species
GGUAACACGUGAGAAACCUACCCUGGAUGGGGAAUAACUCGAAGAAAUUCGAGCUAAUACCGCAUACCUUCUUACCGUCGAAUGGUGGUUUGAAGAAAGAUUUAUCGCUCUGGGAGGGUCUCGCGGCCUAUCAGCUAGUUGGUGAGGUAACGGCUCACCAAGGCAUCGACGGGUAGCUGGUCUGAGAGGACGAUCAGCCACACUGGAACUGAGACACGGUCCAGACUCCUACGGGAGGCAGCAGUAGGGAAUCUUGCGCAAUGGGCGAAAGCCUGACGCAGCAAUGCCGCGUGCGGGACGAAGGCCCUAGGGUCGUAAACCGCUUUCAGUAGGGACGAAAAUGACGGUACCUGCAGAAGAAGCUCCGGCCAACUACGUG